UACAGAGGUCUCAACCGUUGUUCGGAUUCAUUGGGCGUAAAGGGUGCGUAGGCGGUCGUGCAAGUCGGAUGUGAAAUCUCAGGGCUCAACCCUGAAACUGCAUUCGAUACUGCGUGGCUAGAGUGCUGGAGAGGAGACUGGAAUUUACGGUGUAGCAGUGAAAUGCGUAGAUAUCGGGAGGAACACCAGUGGCGAAGGCGACUGUCUGGCUGACAACUGACGCUGAGACUCGAAAGCAUGGGGAGCAAACAGG
rnacentral:rRNA from 1 species